rnacentral:rRNA from 1 species
GACAUAGGUGGCGAACGUUAUCCGGAAUUACUGGGCGUAAAGAGUGCGUAGGUGGUUCAAUAAGUUACUGGUGGGAAAUCGGGGCUCAACCUCGUGGAAGUCAGUAAUACUAUUAAACUAGAGGGUCGGAGAGGUUAAUGGAAUUCUAUGUGUAGCGGUAAAAUGCUUAAAUAUAUAGAGGAACACCAAACGGCGAAGGCAGUUAACUAUUCGAUUCCUGACGUUGAGGCACGAAAGCGUGGGGAGCAAGACGGG